GGGCCAGUAACACUACGAACCAGGACUUUGACUGGUACACCACAGCCAGUCGGAGCAGGUAGCAUACUUUCGGGCGCUUUUCUGGUGCAUAGUUUCUCGUCCCCUGACCCCCCACCCAACUCCAUCUAUCGGCGAAUACUUCUUAUUGGAUUUUUUCAUCUUUUCGUUGCUACAAGUGCCGUGAAAAGUAGUGAUUUUCGUGGUUGAGUUACGGUCGGUUCGCGUUUGGAACAGUGUGAUCCGAAACGAAGUGUGUUGGAUGGUUUUUGCGGAGUGCUGAAUUUCGGACCAGUGGAUUACGGAUAUUCUUCUCACCUCCGGCAUAUAUGAAAGUGGAUUAUGAAUGUGGACUAAAUCAAUUAAUAUCGAGGUGAUAGUAAUCUGCUUCCUGUCGAUCAUACCAUGGCCCGGUCCGAGCGUGUUCAAGAUAUCCUGCUCGCGGGACAGCUCCCGCGUGGUGCGCAAGAUAGUCCAGUCGAAAUGGCUGCCGAUCCUGGAAAAGUACCAGGUCAAACUGCCGCUCGAGUGUCCGUUCCAUCCGCUGCGGGACAUUUUCGGUCCGCAGCAAACCGCCAAAAAGCAGCACCGGCCGAGCCAGUGGACGUGCGGCUUCUGUGGUAAGAGUUUCUUCGAGGAGAAGCACCUGGACAUGCACUUUGAGCACCGGCACAAGGGGAACAUCAACAUGGCGGAGGACGCCAUCUGCCUGGCCGACUACUGCGACAUGAUGCGGUGCGAGGUGCUGAUCGCCAAGGACGCCACGCUGUCGUUCGGUGUCGACCCGAACAUGAUGUCCACCGACAUCGAGGUGUGGAGCGAAUCGACGGCCUACCGAACGGCGCUGACCACGUCCGGUCCGCGGGAUCUGGCCAAGGUGCCGGUGCGGAAAUCGUUGCUUCCAAAAAUACUCCAAACCAUCAAGAACGACAUCCUGAACGAGCGGAAGCCGAUGAGUUCGGCACUUAGCGCGGCGAAGGCCCCGUCCAACUGUGAUGUGUCGGAGCAGAGGAAGGGCGAGGGCGGGAAACGAACCGAUGCUGAAGACUCCAAUGAUAAUUUGGUGGAAGAUGACGACGACGAGGACGAUGAAGAUGAGGACGAUAUUGAUGAUGAGGACGACAGCGACAGCAAUACGACGUCGCAGUGUGACCAGAAUCUGGUUGAUUCGUCACUUCCACCCGUUGACCGGAAGCAGCAACGGCUGUCGGAGAUGCAACGAAUGAAAGCAAACUGCAAGAGUGAAGAGCUUGAUCAGCUGAAGACACGAUGUGAAAUUAUGGUGCGAGACUGCAUCGUUGGUCUGCUGGUGCAGCUGUCCUUGGAGGACUUUAAGAGUAUGGAGGAAGAGCUGAACCGAGCUGUUUGUUGGUAUCUGACCUGUGAACGGUACUGGGAAGAUGGACCGUUAGAUCAGCGAGCUUUCCCUUGGGGUUUGGUGUUUGCCCUCGUCAUGGUACUGUCGCUGGGAGUUUGCUUAUGCUACUACAUCAUUUGGAUACUGUUCGAUGAAGACCACAGUCCGAUCGGAAGUCAACAAAUUACGGCCCAUCCGAGUCCGACGCACGGUCGCCACUACCUGCAGCCCCAGACGACCGCCAGCAUCUACCACCUGCAGGACGGUGGCCACUCCGCGACCAGUCUCAACAGUUUGAGCCACGCAACGUCGUCGGGCGUCGUCUCCAGUGGCAUUGACCUGCAGCACACGCCCCAAAUUCACGCUACUCAGGUGCAGUACGGGGACGAGGGCGGGUACGGCUAUUCCGGUGGACCGGGUGGUAGCGGGUCCAUCAUGGCCGACGGAACGCACUCGGGCGGCGUCGGUGGCAACGGGCCCAACACCGAGUUUAGCGAGCUGGGCCAAAGCGAACACUACAUCUACGUGACCUAUCCGCCAGAACUGAAACGAAGACUACUGGAAAGGAAUUCAACAUCCUAUCUCUAGCCUCAAAUUCGAACCAUAACACCUACUACAACUACCACCACCACCAUACCACUACUAAUCACACUCAUACCGUGGGUGGUAUGAGGAAGAGGAUUCUCGCCGCUGCUACAAUAGAACGACCCGUCUAUGAUUGAUUAGAUUUGAAACACUCAAACUGUUUACUUUCGUAGGCUAAACCAAAAGAAAUUCAUUAGAACAGCUAAACAACAACUACAGUAGAUCACACUCAUUCAGGACCAUUGUCACACCCAAAUUACUAGCAGCAUGAAAGAGAGAGAGAGAUAAAGUUUGAGCUUAAAUAACAGGCAACAACAAACUAACACUGAGAGCAGUUACCGAAAUCGUAGAUCCUAAAUGUAAAACAACAAUUCAAAUGAUGAACAAAACACUAAAACUAGUAGAUGAUCUUGAUGCAAGAAACAAACAAAAAACCUAGAGAUUCACAACGAGAGUGCUUACGAAACUGAUGUUUUAAUGCCGAAAGAAUGUCUUCGUAGAAUACACAAAACUACUCUAAAGCCGGAGUUUAGAACAAUUUAUCGCGCAGCUGUAGUUCACACACUUAGCACGCUUUUAGUUUGUUACUUGAUUUGUAGUCGAAUUAAAGUGUUUCCCCUUUAAAAAACAGAACAGGUAAAUCCAGCUAGUGGAUUGAGUGGACUUUUGAUUUAGUUUUAUUGUUUACGCUAAUUUCAACAUUUAGAUAGUUUCACCAGAUCACCACUACAGUUAAGCCUGUGUAAAAACAAGUCAAACAGUAUCCUUAAUUUAUUUUAGUAACCUAAGACCAAGCCGCAUUCAGAGCGACAAGAGCAAUAUAAGUUACUUAACGAAAAGGCAGCCUUUGAUUCCCCGUACUAUGUGCAUCGUUUACCUUUAACUCUAUAAAGUACAAAACCAACCGCUAGAAGAGACGUUUCCCAUUACAGAAAACAAAUAAAAUACGAGAAUCGCUUUAAAAAUGCGUUAGUCAAACCUUUUUCUAAAUCUAAACGAAUAAUCGUGUUCGCAGGGACAGCCGAGCGCAACGUUUUCUUCUAAUAUCGCCCCCCAAACAACUCUAAGACGAAUUUUAUCGUUUAACUAAAACUAAAAUUUUCCAUUUUUACAUAAGACAAGUAAACUUGCGAACCAACACGUUGUGAGCGCGCGCGCCUAGAAGGUAAUGGAUAAUCAAUUUCUCACCCGUUUUUUGUACGAUAUGAACAAAUUUAAUGAAAUCACACAAGUUACACAACCGAUAACAGAGAUUCUACUAAGAAAUGCAUUUCCUUUUGCCCUCGUUAUACUUUUUGAAAAUAAAUAAAAUUUACUAAAAAAGAGAAAAUACAGAACAUGAAUCCUAAACAUGAUGCGAUAGUGAACUAUUUAGUGAUUUAGAUCAAUGAAGGCUAACCCAAUUCUAGUAUUAAUAUAAAAAAGGUAAAAGUAUUACAACAAAAAAAAGCGACUAUGGAUGAUCAGAUUCAGCAUCGUAAAAUAAACCAAAAUUUAUAAAAUAG
rnacentral:misc_RNA from 1 species